GCGUGAGAUGGAACCUGAAAGAAGAUGCAGGCAAAGUUCCGACCUGACGCACAAAAAUCGCAUAAGGACAAGUUGGGAUGGAUAAGGUUGCCAAACAGACCGAAGUUCCACAACGACUGGGAAUUUCAAAGGGUAGAUGCGACAGGUGAAUGGAGAGAAAGAGU
rnacentral:ncRNA from 1 species